CAAUUGAUUUGGCAAAGAGGAAUUCAAAGAAAAUAAUUUUAAUUGUUGUAAUAAUAAUCUUUUGGCAAGGGUUCUUUACCAUCAUCUUCGUCUUCUUCUUUUGAUCUCAAGAACACUAAAUUUUGGUUUUGGAUAAACGUGGAGACUAGAUUGCUCAUUCUCAAGUUUGCUCGCCCUUUAAGCUAUUUGAUCGCUAAGGUAACCAACAGUUAGUCUUGGACCGUCUUUGGCAUUGUAGGGCCAUUCUUUUGGAUUGGACGUACAAUUAACAUCAGACAUUUGAGGACUCUGAUGUUUUUAGCUUUAGUUGUAUUAGAUUGUCCAGAUUAUUAAACUCGUAUUUCAGUGGGCCCAGUUUCAAAUGAGGAUGACUUGUAUCCGUAAUUUGGGGUCUACAUUUGAACGAUUGUACUUGUAUUAAACUUGUAUUGGCAUUAAUGGAUGUAAUCUCUAUUACCUUCUGAUUAGUACGCAAUUAUUUG